GAUGAACGCUGGCGGCGUGCCUAAUACAUGCAAGUCGAGCGAACAGACGAGGAGCUUGCUCCUCUGACGUUAGCGGCGGACGGGUGAGUAACACGUGGAUAACCUACCUAUAAGACUGGGAUAACUUCGGGAAGCCGGAGCUAAUACCGGAUAAUAUAUUGAACCGCAUGGUUCAAUAGUGAAAGACGGUUUUGCUGUCACUUAUAGAUGGAUCCGCGCCGCAUUAGCUAGUUGGUAAGGUAACGGCUUACCAAGGCAACGAUGCGUAGCCGACCUGAGAGGGUGAUCGGCCACACUGGAACUGAGACACGGUCCAGACUCCUACGGGAGGCAGCAGUAGGGAAUCUUCCGCAAUGGGCGAAAGCCUGACGGAGCAACGCCGCGUGAGUGAUGAAGGUCUUCGGAUCGUAAAACUCUGUUAUUAGGGAAGAACAAAUGUGUAAGUAACUAUGCACGUCUUGACGGUACCUAAUCAGAGAGCCACGGCUAACUACGUG
rnacentral:rRNA from 1 species